UUUGUUUUCAGUCCAGAUUUAUUUCCCCGUCUCUUCCACCAGGCAUCCAACUUCUUCUGGGGUCUCUGGGCCAUCCUGCAGUCCCAAUACUCCUCUAUUAACUUCGACUUCCAAAGGUAUGCCAUAGCACGACUCAGUUACUACUUUGAAAGGAAAGAAGAAUACUUUGGAUUGUCACUGAGCCAGUUAACCAACUCAACCUCUAAAUAAAGCCUUUAAAAGAUCUGAUCUGCA